GAAUAAGUUACCUAAAAUAAUGAUCCUUCUUUCUAAUUUUUUUACCAUAACAGAAUAUAUGUUUAAAUAAGAUUAAGACGAUAAUGCUUUAUGCAUGCAAUUCAUGGAUACUUGAUACUACCUUAAAUCAUAUUAGUAAAUUAUUUUCUGGAUAAUAUGAUUUAGUAUUCUAGCGUAAUAUUAUAGUAGUAUUUUCACAUUUGGUACUAGAGGAACAUCUCAAAACAUUUGGUAGUAUAAAUCACAUUUGGUAUUAUA
rnacentral:lncRNA from 1 species